UACGAAGGGAGCUAGCGUUGUUCGGAAUUACUGGGCGUAAAGCGCGCGCAGGCGGUCUUCCAAGUCAGUGGUGAAAGCCCGGAGCUCAACUCCGGAACUGCCAUUGAAACUGUAAGACUUGAGGAUGAGAGAGGUGAGUGGAAUUCCCAGUGUAGAGGUGAAAUUCGUAGAUAUUGGGAAGAACACCGGUGGCGAAGGCGGCUCACUGGCUCAUUACUGACGCUCAGGCGCGACAGCGUGGGGAUCAAACAGG
rnacentral:rRNA from 1 species